UGUCAUUCACCCUAACGAAGCAAAAGAAAAGAAAUCAAAACGAGACGCGCUCCCUCCUCGCCCCCGAGAAGCUUGGAGCCCGACUAGGGGCGCACAGCCAGGGACUGCGUCCCAAAGCCCGCCCCGACCAGGCCCGCCCCGCUAUCUCCACCCCGUUAUCCGCUCGCAGCUGCGUUCGGGCCUGGAUUUGCCUCCCCGCCCUCCCCAACUCCGGCACGUUCCACUACCCCCACACGAAUGGCUGCUGGACUACAGGAGUACAGAUCAAACCCAUGCCAGGAACAGAUAGGGUGUUCUU